UAGGUAGAUGCCCGUUGGCUGAGGCGCUUAGCUGUUAACUAAGAUUUUGUAGGAUCGAAGCCUGCCUACCUAG
rnacentral:tRNA from 4 species